GAUGAAGAACGCAGCGAAAUGCGAUAAGUAAUGUGAAUUGCAGAAUUCAGUGAAUCAUCGAAUCUUUGAACGCACAUUGCGCCCGUCAGUAUUCUGGCGGGCAUGCCUGUUCGAGCGUCAUUACGCCCCUCAAGUCCCCUGUGGACUUGGUGUUGGGGAUCGGCUACCCUGCCGUCCCCCAAAUACAGUGGCGGUCUCGCUGCAGCCUCCCCUGCGUAGUAGCAACACUCGCAUGCGGAGCGCGGCGCGGCCACGCCGUAAAACCCCCGACUUUCUGAACGUUGACCUCGGAUCAGGUAGGAAUACCCGCUGAACUUAAGCAUAUCAAUAAGCGGAGGA
rnacentral:misc_RNA from 1 species